GGCUCAGUGGUAGAGCGUCACCUUGCCAAGGUGAACGUCGCGAGUUCGAAUCUCGUC
rnacentral:tRNA from 1 species